GUGCCUAUAGUGUAAUGGUUAACACUGCUCCCUGUGGAGGAGUCAAUUCCGGUUCGAAUCCGGAUAGGCACCCA
rnacentral:tRNA from 1 species